rnacentral:rRNA from 1 species
GAUGAACGCUGGCGGCGUGCCUAAUACAUGCAAGUCGAGCGAACGGACGAGAAGCUUGCUUUUCUGAUGUUAGCGGCGGACGGGUGAGUAACACGUGGAUAACCUACCUAUAAGACUGGGAUAACUUCGGGAAACCGGAGCUAAUACCGGAUAAUAUUUUGAACCGCAUGGUUCAAAAGUGAAAGACGGUCUUGCUGUCACUUAUAGAUGGAUCCGCGCUGCAUUAGCUAGUUGGUAAGGUAACGGCUUACCAAGGCAACGAUGCAUAGCCGACCUGAGAGGGUGAUCGGCCACACUGGAACUGAGACGCGGUCCAGACUCCUACGGGAGGCAGCAGUAGGGAAUCGUCCGAAAUGGGCGAAAGCCUGACGGAGCAACGGCGCGUGAGUGAUGAAGGGCUUCGGAUCGUAAAACGCUGUUAUUAGGGAAGAACAUAUGUGUAAGUAACUGUGCACAUCUGGACGGUACCUAAUCAGAAAGCCACGGCUAACUACUU